rnacentral:lncRNA from 13 species
ACACAAAUAGCAACCACCACUGCAGAGCCUGCCAUAUUACAUUCUGGAGUGGCGGAAGUCCAGCACGUGCAGCCCAUCAAGCGGCGCAAAGGUUUGGCUGGCCGUGCCAGGAGCUGGUUAAAAAAAAAAUGGAGGCAUAAGAAAAUUUGCCCCAUUGAAAAUGAAGCUCCUGUUGAAGAACCAAAGGAGUGCAAAACUCUUUUUCACCUGACAUCACCUGAUCAUGAGACAUCACCUGACAUAGAAAAUGCUACAGAUGAAUAUCAACACACUCCUGUUGAUGACUCAGAGGAGUGUACACAUGGCAGUAAGAAGAAAGAGGUUGCCUCUGACAUGGAGAAGCCUGCAGCCCAGUAUCACAACCGUCCUGCUAAGGUCUUACAAGACCUUAUCAUAGAAGACAUUGAGGAUGAUGAGCUGUUCCCUGAUGUGGAGAAGCCAGCGGCCCAGUAUCACCACCGUCCUGCUAAGGUCUUACAAGACCUCAUCAUAGAAGACAUUGAGGAUGAUGAGCUGUUCCCUGAUGUGGUAAGAUGCAUUUCUUUGUCUCAAAGAGAAAUUUUUAUUUCUGGGGCC